CAUAUGUGUUUAUCGAUCAUGGCGGCAAGGGUGGACUUAAUAGUUUUCUUCCUGUGCUUUCUCUAUCUUAGCGGAAAUCUAGUUGAAGCUGGUUGGGGAUUAUCUUUAAAGGAAGAACUGAAAUUCAAGAAGCGACUUAUAAAUCUUAAAACUUCUGCAAUUAAAAGCAUCCAAACAAGAGAUGGAGAUAUAUACGAUUGUAUUGAUUUCUACAAACAACCUGGCUUUGAUCAUCCUUUUUGGAAGAAUACUACAUUUGAGAUGAAACGUAAGUUGUUUUUACAAGGAAUGAGAGCCAAAGGGAAUUUACCCUUAAAUAUUGGGCUAAAAGGUCUAGUGU